GGCCCUCAUAUUCACCCCCCCACACCCCCCAGGAACCCUCCCAAGACCCCCCCCUCCGACCCCCCCCAUACCUGGUGGGGAGGGGCACACGCUGGGGGUGGUUCCAUGCCCGGUGCAGCCCCGCCCCCACCAUAGCGCUCAGCACAGCCUGAGCCAAAGCCCGACCCCUCCCAGAACCGGGGGGGUGCGGCCCCAUCGCCACCUCCCUGCGGGGUCAGAGGUCAGAGGGCACGGAGGGGUCAAAGGUCAAAGGGUGGGGGGUCACAGGGUGGGGUUCGGAGGGGGUCAGAGUACGGGGUUGGGGUCAGAAGCUGUGGUCACGGUGGGGUCAGGGGUCAGAGGUCGCUCACCUGACCCAUGCCUCGAUGCGCUCCCCCCGCAGGCGGCGCUGCACCUCUUCCCGCAGCUGAGGCCAAGUGGGCGGAGCUUCGGGGGUGGCCCCGCCCCCAAAUUCCUCCAGGGUGGGGUCAAGGGCCUCAGGCCCCGCCCACGCCCCGCCCCCACACGGGGUUCGUCCAAUCCCAGCCACCAGCAGCCCUGGGGGAGGGGCCAGGUGUGGGCAGGGUCGGGAAAAGGGGGCGUGACCACGUGGGGGGGGGCGUGGUCACGGGGCGUGAUUGUGGGCGUGGCCGGGGGGGCGUGGUCUACGCGUGUUUGUGGGCGUGGCUACAGCGGUGUGAGAGCUGCGCGGUGGGCGUGGCCACGUGCGGAUGUGGGCGUGGCCUCUUUCGGAGGUGGGCGUGGUCUCCCUGGGGAGUGGGCGUGGCUUAUCCUUACCGACCAGGAAGGCGGAGGCGGAGCCAAGCGCCAACGUGACGAGUGGGUGGAGCCAGGGGCGGGACCGGGGGCGGGGCUUACGGCGUGGGCGGGGCCUGGAGGGUGGUGGGGGCAGCAGAAUAGUGGGCCCCCCCCUGACCUCCCCACCCUGCCCUUCCUCCUCUUCUUCUUCCUCCUCCUCCUCCUCGGGGUCGCGGUGGCGGCUGUAGGCGACCACCCCCACGGUGGGGGGGGGCUGUGACACUGUGUUACCAUUGGGGGGGGCGGGGAGGGGGAAACC
rnacentral:lncRNA from 1 species